CUUUAUGCCAGCCUGCCCUGCCCAGACCCCAGGGUCUGGUGAGCUCCUCCUUCUCCUUGGCUGGGGGUGCCAUGGACACGCAAAGCUGAACACACAGGCCUAAGCUUGCCAGUGCCAUGAGACUGGCACAAGCGCAGCUGUCCCAGCACCCCAACCCCACAGCACCAGAAACACAUCCCAGUUCUCCAGCUGCUGGAGCAAGAAGCAGUUGUCGAGGCAGGAUCAGUCCAUGUUUGUGGCUGGGAUUGCCCUUCCCUGGCAUGAAGUAGCAUGUCACAGCACACAGGAGCUGUUAUCCACUCAGCUGCAGGAUGGCAGGGACACAGAAGCAUGGGGUACAUCAGGGAGGCACGAGGUGUAUCUGCCGUGGAUCCUCCUCCAAACUUUCCACCAAAACCACAUCUUACAUCUCCUCUAAUACUUUGUCCAGAUCCGCAAUGAACUCCUCCAGCUCCUGCGUGUCUCCAAGUUUAGCUUUAGAGGAGUAAGGACCAGUGUGGGUGUUGAGAUCUUCCUCACUGGAGUUCAAGCUGCUCGCUGGGGAUGUGCUGGUACUCUCCAGCUCAUCGAUGCCGCUGUCGUACACGCUGUGCCCCGCUUUCCUCUUCAGCUCCUCCAGGUGCCGCUCAUACUGACUCGCGGGGCCCCUGUCGAAGCCCUCGACGACCUCAUCGAAUUCCCGCAGCAGAUCGCUGAGCUCGUCCGACA
rnacentral:lncRNA from 1 species